AUGAACGCUGGCGGCGUGCCUCAUACAUGCAAGUCGAGCGAACGGACGAGAAGCUUGCUUCUCUGAUGUUAGCGGCGGACGGGUGAGUAACACGUGGAUAACCUACCUAUAAGACUGGGAUAACUUCGGGAAACCGUAGCUAAUACCGGAUAAUAUUUUGAACCGCAUGGUUCAAAAGUGAAAGACGGUCUUGCUGUCACUUAUAGAUGGAUCCGCGCUGCAUUAGCUAGUUGGUAAGGUAACGGCUUACCAAGGCAACGAUGCAUAGCCGACCUGAGAGGGUGAUAGGCCACACUGGAACUGAGACACGGUCCAGACUCCUACGGGAGGCAGCAGUAGGGAAUCUUCCGCAAUGGGCGAAAGCCUGACGGAGCAACGCCGCGUGAGUGAUGAAGGUCUUCGGAUCGUAAAACUCUGUUAUUAGGGAAGAACAUAUGUGUAAGUAACUGUGCACAUCUUGACGGUACCUAAUCAGAAAGCCACGGCUAACUACGUG
rnacentral:rRNA from 1 species